rnacentral:rRNA from 1 species
AACGAACGCUGGCGGCAUGCCUAACACAUGCAAGUCGAACGAGACCUUCGGGUCUAGUGGCGCACUGGUGCGUAACGCGUUGGAACCUGCCCUUAGGUUCGGAAUAACUCCCCGAAAGGGGUGCUAAUACCGGCUAAUGUCUUCGGACCAAAGAUUUAUCGCCUUUGGAUGGGCCCGCGUUGGAUUAGCUAGUUGGUAGGGUAAAAGCCUACCAAGGCGACGAUCCAUAGCUGGUCUGAGAGGAUGAUCAGCCACACUGGGACUGAGACACGGCCCAGACUACUACGGGAGGCAGCAGUGGGGAAUAUUGGAAAACGGGCGAUAGCAUGAUCCAGCAAUGCCGCGUGAGUGAUGAAGGCCUUAGGGUUGUAAAGCUCUUUUACCCGGGAUGAUAAUGACGGUACCGGGAGAAUAAGCUCCGGCUAACUCCGUG